rnacentral:misc_RNA from 1 species
UACGGAGGGUGCAAGCGUUGUCCGGAAUCAUUGGGUGUAAAGGGUGCGUAGGCGGAGGCCUAAGUCGGAGGUGAAAUCCUGCCGCUCAACGGUAGAAUGGCCUUCGAUACUGGGUCUCUUGAGUUCGGAAGAGGUUGGUGGAAUUCGUGGUGUAGCGGUGAAAUGCAUAGAGAUCACGAAGAACACCGGUGGCGAAGGCGGCCAACUGGUCCGACACUGACGCUGAGGCACGAGAGCGUGGGGAGCGAACAGG